rnacentral:lncRNA from 1 species
AGCCUCUUCCUCAGGACCUCGGACUCUGCCUCGGCAUCUUUGACCACCUGCUGCUCGUGGACCAAUUGAAUCUUCAGCCACUGCAGUUUGGCCUCCUCCUACCCAAGGGCCACAGACAGUUCUGCCAUGGUCUCCCUCAAGGAGCGGAGCCUGUCGGAGCCUUGUGCAGAGGCAAGCUGGACUCUCUCAGACAACUGCCUCCGAAGG